CGAGGCAUUAGUUUGACCCCCCGAAACUAGGUGAGCUACUUUUAAACAGCUUUAUGGAGCCAACCCGUCUCUGUUGCAAAAGAGUGGGAAGAUUUUCAAGUAGAGGUGAAAAGCCUAACGAACCUAGAGAUAGCUGGUUGUUCAGGAAAAGAAUUUUAGUUCUCCCUUAAGCUAUAUUAUGACCUAAAACAGUCCCCUAAGCUUAAGAGCUAUUCAAAUAAGGCACAGCUUAUUUGAAAAAGAACUCAGUCUCCAACCAAGGGUAAGUAACAUUGCUUGUGCUAAGUGGGCCUGAAAGCAGCCACCUUUAAAAAAGCGUUAAAGCUUCUCACUUCCCUCCGACCUCAAUACCAACUUUUUUCACGAACCCUUUUUUAGUACUGAACAACCCUAUAAAUUAUAGGAGAUAUAAUGCUAAAACUAGUAACAAGAAAUAGAUUUUUCUCCAAAAUGUAAGUGUAAGCCAAAACGGACCAACCACUGGCCAUUAUCGCAUCUGAGCCCUGAAUAGCAACCUUUUCUAGAAAAGCCUAUUACCCUCAAGCGUUAACCUAACACAAGAGCAUUCCUGGAAAGAUUGAAAGAGAAAGAAGGAAUUCGGCAAAUCAUCAGCCCGCCUGUUUAC
rnacentral:rRNA from 1 species